GAGAGCCAGAUUUAAUAAGAUAACGACGCGAGACGCAGCUUCACGAAGAAUGAAGAGCAACAACAUGUUAACUAUUCGUCCUGGGAUAGCAUCAAGUUUCCGCAGGCGGCACCUUUCAUCAGAAAAGGUCGCGCCGGAGGCUGGAAGACCCACUUCAAGGUUGCAGAGAGCGAGAAGAUGGAUAAGAUCUACGAGGAGAAGUUCAGAGGAACGGGGCUUCAGCAUUUAUUCAAGGUCUGAUGAACCUGAAGAAAAAUGUUAUAGUCUAACGAAGAAAGCAAACGUAGCGAACACAACCAGCUAGACAAACAUGCAUCAAGAAUUACUCCAAUUUCUGCUUUGGCGCGGCAUCCAACGAUAUAAAACUGCAAGUUAUUGCCGAGUAUAGUCUCAGACUUUACUGUAGCUGAUUCUACGUGCUAAUACAGGCGCCCUGCAGAGAACUGCCGUACUUUGGGAGGCAUCUGACUCAAUAAACAGUGACGUAAA